CAGGAUGAACGCUAGCUACAGGCUUAACACAUGCAAGUCGAGGGGAAACGACAUCGAAAGCUUGCUUUUGAUGGGCGUCGACCGGCGCACGGGUGAGUAACGCGUAUCCAACCUGCCCACCACUUGGGGAUAACCUUGCGAAAGUAAGACUAAUACCCAAUGACGUCUCUAGAAGACAUCUGAAAGAGAUUAAAGAUUUAUCGGUGAUGGAUGGGGAUGCGUCUGAUUAGCUUGUUGGCGGGGUAACGGCCCACCAAGGCGACGAUCAGUAGGGGUUCUGAGAGGAAGGUCCCCCACAUUGGAACUGAGACACGGUCCAAACUCCUACGGGAGGCAGCAGUGAGGAAUAUUGGUCAAUGGGCGAGAGCCUGAACCAGCCAAGUAGCGUGCAGGAUGACGGCCCUAUGGGUUGUAAACUGCUUUUUAUAGGGGGAAUAAAGUGAGCCACGUGUGGUUUUUUGCAUGUACCCUAUGAAUAAGGACCGGCUAAUUCCGUG
rnacentral:rRNA from 1 species